GAUGAAGAACGUAGCGAAAUGCGAUACUUGGUGUGAAUUGCAGAAUCCCGUGAACCAUCGAGUCUUUGAACGCAAGUUGCGCCCGAAGCCAUUAGGCCGAGGGCACGCCUGCCUGGGCGUCACACGUCGUUGCCCCCCCCAUCUACUCCUUCGGGCUUGCGGGGGGCGGAUGAUGGCCUCCCGUGCGCCUCGCCGCGCGGUUGGCAUAAAUGCCAAGUCCUCGGCGACGCACGCCACGACAAUCGGUGGUUGCGAAACCUCGGUUGCCCGUCGUGUGCGGUCGUCGCGCAUCGAGGGCUCGAAAAAAUUGCCGAGUUCCGGCUCGGCUUUCAACGCGACCCCAGGUCAGGCGGGGUUACCCGCUGAAUUUAAGCAUAUCAAUAAGCGGAGGA
rnacentral:misc_RNA from 1 species